rnacentral:rRNA from 1 species
UACGGGGGGAGCAAGCGUUGUUCGGAUUUACUGGGCGUAAAGGGCGCGUAGGCGGCGCAACAAGUCACUUGUGAAAUCUCCGGGCUUAACCCGGAGCGGUCAAGUGAUACUGUCGUGCUAGAGUGCGGAAGGGGCUACUGGAAUUCUCGGUGUAGCGGUGAAAUGCGUAGAUAUCGAGAGGAACACCGAUGGCGAAGGCAGGUCUCUGGGCCACUACUGACGCUGAGAAGCGAAAGCAUGGGGAGCGAACAGG